rnacentral:rRNA from 1 species
UGGGGAAUUUUGGACAAUGGGCGCAAGCCUGAUCCAGCAAUGCCGCGUGCAGGAUGAAGGCCUUCGGGUUGUAAACUGCUUUUGUACGGAACGAAACGGUCCCUUCUAAUACAGGGGGCUAAUGACGGUACCGUAAGAAUAAGCACCGGCUAACUACGUGCCAGCAGCCGCGGUAAUACGUAGGGUGCGAGCGUUAAACGGAAUUACUGGGCGUAAAGCGUGCGCAGGCGGUUAUGUAAGACAGAUGUGAAAUCCCCGGGCUCAACCUGGGACCUGCAUUUGUGACUGCAUAGCUAGAGUACGGUAGAGGGGGAUGGAAUUCCGCGUGUAGCAGUGAAAUGCGUAGAUAUGCGGAGGAACACCGAUGGCGAAGGCAAUCCCCUGGACCUGUACUGACGCUCAUGCACGAAAGCGUGGGGAGCAAACAGGAUUAGAUACCCUGGUAGUCCACGCCCUAAACGAUGUCAACUGGUUGUUGGGUCUUCACUGACUCAGUAACGAAGCUAACGCGUGAAGUUGACCGCCUGGGGAGUACGGCCGCAAGGUUG